CGUACACUCCUACGGGAGGCAGCAGUGGGGAAUUUUGGACAAUGGGCGCAAGCCUGAUCCAGCCAUGCCGCGUGCGGGAAGAAGGCCUUCGGGUUGUAAACCGCUUUUGUCAGGGAAGAAAAGGUUCUGGCUAAUACCUGGGACUCAUGACGGUACCUGAAGAAUAAGCACCGGCUAACUACGUGCCAGCAGCCGCGGUAAUACGUAGGGUGCAAGCGUUAAUCGGAAUUACUGGGCGUAAAGCGUGCGCAGGCGGUUAUGCAAGACAGAGGUGAAAUCCCCGGGCUCAACCUGGGAACUGCCUUUGUGACUGCAUGGCUAGAGUACGGUAGAGGGGGAUGGAAUUCCGCGUGUAGCAGUGAAAUGCGUAGAUAUGCGGAGGAACACCGAUGGCGAAGGCAAUCCCCUGGACCUGUACUGACGCUCAUGCACGAAAGCGUGGGGAGCAAACAGGAUUAGAAACCCUGGUAGUCC
rnacentral:rRNA from 1 species